CGGCAAACGAAAGCGAAAAAUUGACAGUUGUGCCUGAAAAGCGGAAAGCGACGCACGUUUUUCGAACAAAACGGAAAGCUAUAAAAAUACCAAAACCAACUAAGUGUUGAAUGGAAAAUAGUGAAUUUCUAUUUGAAAUACUUUAAAGGAUUCUGAGAGCCAAAACAAUUAAACGAAGAAAAGAAAAACAAAAAUCAAAAAAGUGUUAGCAUAAUUGCAUAACUGCGCGAAGGAAGUGAAAAGUGUGGUUGUCUUAAAUAUGUUUGACAUCUAAAAAAAAAAUUGGCACAUUUGUAUGUAUUCCAAUGUGUGUUGGUGUGUUUGUGCAAGCGUCAUUAUCCUUAUGGUAAAAUAAGUAUGCGAAACUAUAAAAAUAAAGGAUGCAGGCAGUGUAGUACAUAAAUACUAACAAAUGAUACUGUGUUUCUGACAUAAAUUGAAAAAGUAAACAACUAAGUAAAAAUUGCGCAGCGCCGAAAAUUGUGUGAAAAAGCCCUUCACAUAACCAGCUGUGGCCAAAGAAUUAUCAACACUAGAGACUUUACUUCUCUAUAAACGUCAGCAAGUGUCGUUUACGAAACCAAAAAAAAAA